rnacentral:rRNA from 1 species
AACGUCCCCAAUGCGGGAAACCGUGAGGGCGCUACCCCCAGUGCUCCCGAAAGGGAGCUUUUCCCCGCUUUAGAACGGCGGGGGAAUAAGCGGGGGGCAAGACUGGUGUCAGCCGCCGCGGUAAUACCAGCCCCGCGAGUGGUCGGGACGCUUACUGGGCUUAAAGCGCCCGUAGCCGGCCCUGCAAGUCACUGCUUAAAGACCCGGGCUCAACCCGGGAAAGGGCAGUGAUACUGCAGGGCUAGGGGGCGGGAGAGGUCGGAGGUACUCCCGGAGUAGGGGCGAAAUCCACAGAUCCCGGGAGGACCACCAGUGGCGAAAGCGUCCGGCCAGAACGCGCCCGACGGUGAGGGGCGAAAGCCGGGGUAGCAAAAGGGAUUAGAUACCCCUGUAGUCCCGGCUGUAAACGAUGCAGGCUAGGUGUCGCGUAGGCUUUGCGCCUACGCGGUGCCGCAGGGAAACCGGUAAGCCUGCCGCCUGGGGAGUACGCCCGCAAGGGUGAAACUUAA